rnacentral:rRNA from 1 species
AACGAACGCUGGCGGCGUGCUUAACACAUGCAAGUCGAACGAGAACGGAUUAUAGCUUGCUAUAAUUGUCAGCUAAGUGGCGCACGGGUGAGUAAUGUAUAGGUAAUAUGCCUCUUACUAAGGGAUAACAAAUGGAAACGUUUGCUAAUACCUUAUACUCCUUAUUAACAGAAGUUAAUAAGGGAAAGAUUUAUUGGUAAGAGAUUAGCCUGUAUUGUAUCAGUUAGUUGGUGGGGUAAUGGCUUACCAAGACUAUGACACAUAACUGGUUUGAGAGGAUGAUCAGUCACACUGGAACUGAGACACGGUCCAGACUCCUACGGGAGGCAGCAGUGGGGAAUAUUGCACAAUGGACGAAAGUCUGAUGCAGCAACGCCGCGUGGAGGAUGACACAUUUCGGUGCGUAAACUCCUUUUAUAUGAGAAGAUAAUGACGGUAUUAUAUGAAUAAGCACCGGCUAACUCCGUG